AUGGUUAAGUUAGAAAGGGCGCACGGUGAAUGCCUUGGCACUAGGAGCCGAUGAAGGACGGGACUAACACCGAUAUGCUUCGGGGAGCUGUAAGUGAGCUUUGAUCCGGAGAUUUCCGAAUGGGGAAACCCACUGUUCGUAAUGGAACAGUAUCUUUAUCUGAAUACAUAGGAUAUUGAAGGCAGACCCGGGGAACUGAAACAUCUAAGUACCCGGAGGAAGAGAAAGCAAAUGCGAUUUCCUGAGUAGCGGCGAGCGAAACGGAAUUAGCCCAAACCAAGAGGCUUGCCUCUUGGGGUUGUAGGACACUCUAUACGGAGUUACAAAGGAACGAAGUAAAUGAAGCGACCUGGAAAGGUCCGUCGAAGAAGGUAACAACCCUGUAGUUGAAACUUCGUUCCCUCUUGAGUGGAUCCUGAGUACGGCGGAACACGUGAAAUUCCGUCGGAAGCUGGGAGGACCAUCUCCCAAGGCUAAAUACUACCUAGUGACCGAUAGUGAACCAGUACCGUGAGGGAAAGGUGAAAAGCACCCCGGAAGGGGAGUGAAAGAGAUCCUGAAACCGUGUGCCUACAAGUAGUCAGAGCCCGUUAACGGGUGAUGGCGUGCCUUUGUAGAAUGAACCGGCGAGUUACGAUCCCAUGCAAGGUUAAGCUGAUAAGGCGGAGCCGUAGCGAAAGCGAGUCUGAAUAGGGCGUUUAGUAUGUGGUUGUAGACCCGAAACCAGGUGAUCUACCCAUGUCCAGGGUGAAGUUCAGGUAACACUGAAUGGAGGCCCGAACCCACGCACGUUGAAAAGUGCGGGGAUGAGGUGUGGGUAGCGGAGAAAUUCCAAUCGAACCUGGAGAUAGCUGGUUCUCUCCGAAAUAGCUUUAGGGCUAGCCUCAUGUUGUGAGAGUCUUGGAGGUAGAGCACUGAUUGGACUAGGGGCCCCCAACGGGUUACCGAAUUCAGUCAAACUCCGAAUGCCAAAGACUUAUCCAUGGGAGUCAGACUGCGAGUGAUAAGAUCCGUAGUCAAAAGGGAAACAGCCCAGACCACCAGCUAAGGUCCCCAAGUAUACGUUAAGUGGAAAAGGAUGUGGAGUUGCUUAGACAACCAGGAUGUUGGCUUAGAAGCAGCCACCAUUUAAAGAGUGCGUAAUAGCUCACUGGUCGAGUGACUCUGCGCCGAAAAUGUACCGGGGCUAAACGUAUCACCGAAGCUGUGGAUUGACAUCUUUGAUGUCAGUGGUAGGAGAGCGUUCUAAGUGCUGUGAAGUCAGACCGUAAGGACUGGUGGAGCGCUUAGAAGUGAGAAUGCCGGUAUGAGUAGCGAAAGACAAGUGAGAAUCUUGUCCACCGAAUGCCUAAGGUUUCCUGAGGAAGGCUCGUCCGCUCAGGGUUAGUCGGGACCUAAGCCGAGGCUGAAAAGCGUAGGCGAUGGCCAACAGGUUGAUAUUCCUGUACCACCUCCCCGCCGUUUGAGUAAUGGGGGGACGCAGUAGGAUAGGGUAAGCGCGCUGCUGGAUAUGCGCGUUCAAGCAGUUAGGCUGAUGAGUAGGCAAAUCCGCUCAUCAUAAAGGCUGAGCUGUGAUGACGAGGGAAUUAUAGUACCGAAGUUCCUGAUUCCACACUGCCAAGAAAAGCCUCUAGCGAGGCGGGAGGUGCCCGUACCGCAAACCGACACAGGUAGGCGAGGAGAGAAUCCUAAGGUGAUCGAGAGAACUCUCGUUAAGGAACUCGGCAAAAUGACCCCGUAACUUCGGGAGAAGGGGUGCUCUGGUAGGGUGUAUAGCCCGAGAGAGCCGCAGUGAAUAGGCCCAGGCGACUGUUUAGCAAAAACACAGGUCUCUGCGAAGCCGCAAGGCGAAGUAUAGGGGCUGACGCCUGCCCGGUGCUGGAAGGUUAAGAGGAGGGGUUAUCCUUUGGGAGAAGCUCUGAAUCGAAGCCCCAGUAAACGGCGGCCGUAACUAUAACGGUCCUAAGGUAGCGAAAUUCCUUGUCGGGUAAGUUCCGACCCGCACGAAAGGCGUAACGAUCUGGGCACUGUCUCAACGAGAGACUCGGUGAAAUUAUAGUACCUGUGAAGAUGCAGGUUACCCGCGACAGGACGGAAAGACCCCGUGGAGCUUUACUGUAGCCUGAUAUUGAAUUUUGGUACAGCUUGUACAGGAUAGGUAGGAGCCUGAGAAGCCGGAGCGCUAGCUUCGGUGGAGGCGUCGGUGGGAUACUACCCUGGCUGUAUUGAAAUUCUAACCCGCGGCCCUGAUCGGGCCGGGAGACAGUGUCAGGUGGGCAGUUUGACUGGGGCGGUCGCCUCCUAAAAUGUAACGGAGGCGCCCAAAGGUUCCCCUCAGAAUGGUUGGAAAUCAUUCGUAGAGUGUAAAGGCACAAGGGAGCUUGACUGCGAGACCUACAAGUCGAGCAGGGACGAAAGUCGGGCUUAGUGAUCCGGUGGUUCCGCAUGGAAGGGCCAUCGCUCAACGGAUAAAAGCUACCCCGGGGAUAACAGGCUUAUCUCCCCCAAGAGUCCACAUCGACGGGGAGGUUUGGCACCUCGAUGUCGGCUCAUCGCAUCCUGGGGCUGUAGUCGGUCCCAAGGGUUGGGCUGUUCGCCCAUUAAAGCGGUACGCGAGCUGGGUUCAGAACGUCGUGAGACAGUUCGGUCCCUAUCCGUCGUGGGCGUAGGAAAUUUGAGAGGAGCUGUCCUUAGUACGAGAGGACCGGGAUGGACACACCGCUGGUGUACCAGUUGUCUUGCCAAAGGCAUCGCUGGGUAGCUAUGUGUGGACGGGAUAAGUGCUGAAAGCAUCUAAGCAUGAAGCCCCCCUCAAGAUGAGAUUUCCCAUAGCGCAAGCUAGUAAGAUCCCUGAAAGAUGAUCAGGUUGAUAGGUCAGAGGUGGAAGCGUGGCGACAUGUGUAGCUGACUGAUACUAAUCGAUCGAGGACUUAACCAAAC
rnacentral:rRNA from 1 species